AACGAACGCUGGCGGCAUGCCUAAUACAUGCAAGCCGAACGAGCCCUUCGGGGUUAGUGGCGCACGGGUGCGUAACGCGUGGGAAUCUGCCCUUGGGUUCGGAAUAACGUCGGGAAACUGACGCUAAUACCGGAUGAUGACGAAAGUCCAAAGAUUUAUCGCCCAGGGAUGAGCCCGCGUAGGAUUAGCUAGUUGGUGAGGUAAAGGCUCACCAAGGCGACGAUCCUUAGCUGGUCUGAGAGGAUGAUCAGCCACACUGGGACUGAGACACGGCCCAGACUCCUACGGGAGGCAGCAAUAGGGAAUAUUGGACAAUGGGGGCAACCUUGAUCCAGCAAUGCCGCGUGAGUGAUGAAGGCCUUAGGGUUGUAAAGCUCUUUUACCCGGGAUGAUAAUGACAGUACCGGGAGAAUAAGCCCCGGCUAACUCCGUGCCAGCCGCCGCGGUAAGAC
rnacentral:rRNA from 1 species